UACAGAGGGUGCGAGCGUUAAUCGGAAUUACUGGGCGUAAAGCGUGCGCAGGCGGGCUUUUAAGCCAGACGUGAAAUCCCCGGGCUUAACCUGGGAAUGGCGUUUGGGACUGGAAGUCUGGAGUGCGGCAGAGGAGACUGGAAUUCCUGGUGUAGCAGUGAAAUGCGUAGAUAUCAGGAGGAACACCGAUGGCGAAGGCAGGUCUCUGGGCUGACACUGACGCUCAUGCACGAAAGCGUGGGGAGCAAACAGG
rnacentral:rRNA from 1 species